UGCGGCUUGGUUAAGCGCAUGCUGAAUGCAGUUGGUUAGCAAGUCGAACGUUGUCAGCAGUAUCGAAACGCUCUAGCGUUGAGUCUGGUGAAAGUUUCUUGUUCUACCCACUGCAACUCGGGUAUUACCCGGCUCUACAUUAAGCUUUAUCGAGGAUUUCGAUCAUGGCAACUGGUACCGUUAAGUGGUUUAACGACACUAAAGGCUUCGGCUUCAUUUCUCCGGACGACAAUGGCGACGACCUGUUCGCUCACUUCUCCGAAAUUCAAGCUGACGGCUUCAAAACUCUGCAAGACGGCCAGAAGGUUUCCUUCGACGUCACCCAGGGUAAAAAAGGCCUUCAGGCUUCCAACAUCAAAGUUCUGUAAUCUGAACGAAUGAUGUUGUCAGCUGACCUACGGGUCAGUCUGUAGAAAAACCCCGCCUUCGUGCGGGGUUUUUUGU
rnacentral:sRNA from 1 species